UACGUAGGGGGCAAGCGUUGUCCGGAAUUAUUGGGCGUAAAGAGCGUGUAGGCGGCCAGAUAAGUCCGCUGUGAAAUCUCGAGGCUCAACUUCGAGCUGUCGGUGGAAACUAUCUGGCUAGAGUCCGGAAGAGGAGAAUGGAAUUCCUGGUGUAGCGGUGAAAUGCGCAGAUAAUCAGGAAGAACACCCGUGGCGAAGGCGGUUCUCUGGGACGGUACUGACGCUGGAGACGCGAAAGCGUGGGGAGCGAACAGG
rnacentral:rRNA from 1 species